GGUUAAGUUACUAAGGGCACACGGUGGAUGCCUAGGCAGUCGAACCGAAGAAGGACGUGGCUACCUGCGAAAAGCCUCGGGGAGUUGGAAGCAAGCGGUGAUCCGGGGAUAUCCGAAUGGGGAAACCCAGCAGAGCGAACCUCUGCUACCCAUACCUGAACACAUAGGGUAUGAGGAGGGAACCCAGGGAACUGAAACAUCUAAGUACCUGGAGGAGAGGAAAGAAAACUCGAUUCCGUGAGUAGUGGCGAACGAAAGCGGAGGAGCCCAAACCGAGGUCUACGGGCCUUGGGGUUGUAGGACCAGCUCAUUAGACCCGAGUGUUUAGCCGAAGCGUACUGGAAAGGCGCACCAUAGAGGGUGAGAGUCCUGUAGGCGAAAGGCACGGAGGCGAGGCUGGCACCUGAGUAGCUCAGGCCACGCGAAAUCCUGAGUGAAUCUGCGGGGACCACCCCGCAAGGCUAAAUAUUCCGACUGACCGAUAGCGAACCAGUACCGUGAGGGAAAGGUGAAAAGCACCCCGUGAGGGGAGUGAAAGAGUCCCUGAAACCGUGUGCUUACAAGCAGUCACGGCACCAUAGGUGUGUUGUGGCGUGCCUCUUGAAGCAUGAUCCUGCGACUUACUGUGUGUGCCGAGUUUAAGCCGUGAGGCGAAGGCGAAGCGAAAGCGAGUCUGAAGAGGGCGAAUAGGCGCACGUAGUAGACCCGAAACCAGAUGAGCUAGCCAUGGCCAGGAUGAAGCUCUCGUAACGGGGAGUGGAGGUCCGAACCCGUUGAGGUUGAAAACUCUUGGGAUGAGCUGUGGUUAGGAGUGAAAAGCUAACCGAAUCUGGAGAUAGCUGGUUCUCCCCGAAAUAGCUUUAGGGCUAGCCUCGGGGGAUAAGCAGUGGCUGUAAAGCACUGAUUGGGCUAGGGGGCUUACCCGCUUACCAAACCCUGUCAAACUCUGAAGGCUACUGUUCGAGACCCCGGGAGUCAGUCUGCGUGAGCUAACUUUCGCAGACGAGAGGAAAACAACCCAGACCGCCAGCUAAGGUCCCGAAGUCAGCGCUAAGUGGAGAAGGAUGUGAAGACGCCGAGACAGCUAGGAGGUUGGCUUAGAAGCAGCCAUUCCUUUAAAGAGUGCGUAAUAGCUCACUAGUCGAGUGUCUUUGCGCCGAAGAUGAUCGGGGCUAAGCGCUGCACCGAAGCUGCGGCAUUGUUGGAGGUAUGAUCUGUCAAUUGACAGAUGAUAUUUGCCACCGAUGGGUAGGGGAGCGUUCCGUAGGCUGUUGAAGCGUGACCGGAAGGACACGUGGAGGCAUCGGAAGUGCGAAUGCAGGAAUGAGUAACGAUAAGAAGGGUGAGAAUCCCUUCCGCCGAAAGCCCAAGGGUUCCUGAGUAAAGGUCGUCUUCUCAGGGUUAGGCGGGACCUAAGGCGAGGCCGAGAGGCGUAGUCGAUGGACAACGGGUUAAUAGUCCCGUCCCGCUUUCGUGGAGCGAUGGGGUGACGCAUUAGGAUAGGCCAACCGGAGCAAUGGCUAAGCCCGGCGGGCAACGGAGCUUGCAAGGAGAGGCAAAUCCGCCUUGCGUGAGAGUGACGUUGUUCGGGAAGCCCCCACGGGGGUGAUAACUGGUUGAAUCCAGGGUGCCAAGAAAACCCUCUAAGCGAAGAAGCGAGAGCGCCCGUACCGAAAACCGACACAGGUGGGCGAGUGUAAAAGCACUAAGGCGCGCGAGAGAACUCUCUCUAAGGAACUCUGCAAAAUGGCCCCGUAACUUCGGGAGAAGGGGUUCCGCGGGUACCGUGAGCGAAGGCUUGCGGGAGGCGGGCACAGGAAAUCGGCUCUAGCGACUGUUUACCACAAUCACAGCACUCUGCGAACCCGGAUAGGGGAGGUAUAGGGUGUGACACCUGCCCGGUGCCGGAAGGUUAAGUGGAGGGGUGAGAGCCCUGAAAUGAAGCCCCGGUGAACGGCGGCGGUAACUAUAACCGUCCUAAGGUAGCGAAAUUCCUUGUCAGGUAAGUUCUGACCUGCACGAAUGGUGUAACGACUGGAGCGCUGUCUCGGAGAGAGACUCGGUGAAAUUGAACUGGCCGUAUAGAUGCGGCCUACCCGCAGCAGGACGAAAAGACCCCGUGGAGCUUUACUACAGCUUGAUAUUGGCGUUAGGACCGAUCUGUGUAGGAUAGGUGGGAGACGUUGAAGCCGGUGCGCCAGCAUCGGUGGAGUCGCUGGUGAAAUACCACCCUGAUGGGUUCGGACGUCUAACCUGCGCCUGUGAUCCAGGUGAGGGACAGUGUUAGGCGGGUAGUUUGACUGGGGUGGUCGCCUCCCAAAGCGUAACGGAGGCGCACAAAGGUUCCCUCAGCACGGUCGGAAAUCGUGCGUAGAGCGUAAGGGUAUAAGGGAGCUUGACUGCGAGACAUACAGGUCGAGCAGGGACGAAAGUCGGUCCUAGUGAACCGGUGGUACCGAGUGGAAGGGCCAUCGAUCAACGGAUAAAAGUUACCCCGGGGAUAACAGGCUGAUACCGCCCGAGCGUUCAUAGCGGCGGCGGUGUUUGGCACCUCGAUGUCGGCUCGUCAUAUCCUGGGGCUGGAGAAGGUCCCAAGGGUCCGGCUGUUCGCCGGUUAAAAUGGCACGCGAGCUGGGUUCAGAACGUCGUGAGACAGUUCGGUCUCUAUCCGCUGUGGGCGUAGGAAAGUUGAGGAGAGCUGUUCCUAGUACGAGAGGACCGGAAUGGACGCACCGCUAGUUUCUCAGUUGUCUACCAAGGGCAUAAGCUGAGUAGCUAUGUGCGGAACGGAUAAGCGCUGAAAGCAUCUAAGUGCGAAGCCGACUCCAAGAUGAGCUUUCCCAUCCCCUUGUGGGAGUAAGACCCCCGGAAGACCACCGGGAGAUAGGCUGGGCGUGUACGCACGGCAACGUGUUUAGCGGACCAGUACUAAUCGGUCGAGGACUUAACCUC
rfam:Truepera radiovictrix DSM 17093, complete genome.